rnacentral:rRNA from 1 species
AUUUAAGCAAUUAAGGGCUUAGGCUGGAUACCUUGGCGCUCAGAAGCGAUGAAGGGCGUGUCUACCAGCGAAAUGCUUCGGGGAGCUGGACGUAAGCUUUGAUCCGGAGGUUCCCGAAUGAGGAAACUUUUUAUACUGUACAUCUAAUUCAUAGGUGUACGAGAGCUAACCUGGAGAACUGAAACAUCUUAGUAUCCAGAGGAAAAUAAAGCAAUAGCGAUUCCCAUAGUAGCGGCGAGCGAAAAGGGAACAGCCUAAACCAUCUUCGCGGGUGGGGUUGUGGGACGGCAUGUGCUUUGGUAGUUAUGGUUAGGAGAAACUUUUGGAAUGAAGUACCGCAGAAGGUGAUGGUCCUGUACCCGAAAGCCUGUUACUAUUCUAUGCUGUAUCCCAAGUAGCAUGGGCCACGUGGAAUCCCGUGUGAAUCUGCGAGGACCACCUCGUAAGGCUAAAUAUUCCUGAGCGACCGAUAGCGUACAAGUACCGUGAGGGAAAGGUGAAAAGAACCCCGGAAGGGGAGUGAAAAAGAGCAUGAAAGCGUAAGUCUACAAGCAGUGGAAGGACGACUAAACGUUCGACUUCGUACCUGUUGAAGAAUGAGCCGGCGACUUAUAGGCAGUGGCAGGUUAAGGUGUUACUACUGGAGCCAUAGUGAAAGCGAGCUUUAAUAGAGCGUUGGUCACUGUUUAUAGACCCGAACCCGGAUGAUCUAACCAUGGCCAGUGUGAAGCGUAGGUAACACUCCGUGGAGGCGCGAACCGACUAAUGUUGAAAAAUUAGCGGAUGAGCUGUGGUUAGUGGUGAAAUGCCAAUCGAAUUCGGAGCUAGCUGGUUCUCCCCGAAAUGCGUUUAGGCGCAGCGGUCAGCGCUAUAGCUUAGGGGUAAAGCACUGUUUCGGUGCGGGCUGUUAACACGGUACCAAAUCGAUGCAAACUCUGAAUACUAAGUGCGUAGCUGACCAGUAAGACUGUGGGGGAUAAGCUCCAUUGUCAAGAGGGAAACAGCCCAGACCACCGGCUAAGGCCCCUAAAUGAUUGCUAAGUGAUAAAGGAUGUGGGAAUGCUUAAACAGUCAGGAGGUUCGCCUAGAAGCAGCUAUCCUUUAAAGAGUGCGUAAUAGCUCACUGAUCUAGUGCGCCUGCGCCGAAAAUGAACGGGACUAAGCAGUCUGCCGAAGCUGUGGGAUUUUUAUAGAUCGGUAGGGGAGCGUUCCACCGUAGGUAGAAGCAUUAGUGUAAACGGGUGUGGACGAAGUGGAAGUGAGAAUGUCGGCUUGAGUAGCGAACACAUUGGUGAGAAUCCAAUGCCCCGUAAACCUAAGGUUUCCUCCGGUAGGCUCGUCCGCGGAGGGUGAGUCAGGACCUAAGAUGAGGCCGAAAGGCGUAGUCGAUGGCGAACUGGUUAAUAUUCCUGUACUAUUUACUAUUGAUUCUGAGGGACGGAGAAGGCUAUGCUAUCCGGGUGCGGAUUUCCCGGUUCAAGUAUGCGAGGUGUUGAGAGGUGGAGAAAACAUCUUGAGCUGAGCUGCGAGUACGAUAGGUGUUUCUACACUGAAGUGGUUGAUGUCAUGCUUCCAAGAAAAGCUCUAUGUAUCUUAAGUAGUAAAUACCUGUACCUUAAACCGACACAGGUAGGUUAGUAGAGUAUACUAAGGGGCGCGAGAUAACUCUCUCUAAGGAACUCGGCAAAAUAGCCUCGUAACUUCGGGAGAAGAGGUACCCGUAAAAGGGUUGCAAUAUCUAGACCCUGGCGACUGUUUAACAAAAACACAGGUCUCCGCUAAUUCGUAAGAAUAUGUAUGGGGGCUGACGCCUGCCCAGUGCCGGAAGGUUAAGGAAGUUGGUUAGCUGUAAGGCAAGGCUAGCGACUGAAGCCCCGGUGAACGGCGGCCGUAACUAUGACGGUCCUAAGGUAGCGAAAUUCCUUGUCGGGUAAGUUCCGACCCGCACGAAAGGCGUAACGAUCAGGGUGCUGUCUCAGAGAGAGACUCGGUGAAAUAGACAUGUCUGUGAAGAUGCGGACUACCUGCACCUGGACAGAAAGACCCUAUGAAGCUUUACUGCAUCUUGAGAUGAGUUUUGGUCUUGUUGCGCAGGAUAGGUGGGAGGCUUUGAGUAAACUCUUGCGGGAGUUUAGGAGCUGCUAGUGAGAUACCACUCUAGUAACACUGAAUCUCUAACUGUAUAUCAUUAGCUGAUUAUAGGACAUUCUCAAGUGGGUAGUUUGACUGGGGCGGUCGCCUCCUAAAAGGUAACGGAGGCGCGCAAAGGUUUCCUCAGACUGGUUGGACAUCAGUUAUUGAGUGUAAAGGCAUAAGGAAGCUUGACUGCGAGACUUACAAGUCGAGCAGAGACGAAAGUCGGCCUUAGUGAUCCGACGGUUCUGAGUGGAAGGGCCGUCGCUCAACGGAUAAAAGUUACUCUAGGGAUAACAGGCUGAUCUCCCCCAAGAGUUCACAUCGACGGGGAGGUUUGGCACCUCGAUGUCGGCUCAUCGCAUCCUGGGGCGGUAGUACGUCCCAAGGGUUGGGCUGUUCGCCCAUGAAAGCGGUACGUGAGCUGGGUUCAGAACGUCGUGAGACAGUUCGGUCCAUAUCCGGUGUAGGCGUUAGAGUAUUGAGAGGAUUUCCCCUUAGUACGAGAGGACCGGGGGGAAUACACCUCUGGUGUACCAGUUAUUAUGUCAGUGGUAAACGCUGGGUAGCUAUGUGUAGUGUGGAUAACUGCUGAAAGCAUCUAAGUAGGAAGCCCACCUCAAGAUGAGUACUCUUCCCAUUAUGUGGGUAAGAUCACGGUAAGAUUAACCGUUUGAUAGGCAUUAGGUGUAUGCUACAGUAAUGUACGAAGCCGAGAUGUACUAAUAGAUCGAGAGCUUAAAAUU